rnacentral:rRNA from 1 species
UACGUAGGGGGCGAGCGUUGUCCGCAGUUACUGGGCGUAAAGCGCGCGUAGGCGGGUUGGCAAGUCUGCUGUGAAAGCCCGGAGCUUAACUCCGGAGGGUCGGUGGAUACUGCCAAUCUUGAAGGGACUAGGGGGAGAUGGAAUUACCGGUGUAGCGGUGAAAUGCGCAGAUAUCAGGAGGAACACCCGUGGCGAAGGCGGCUCUCUGGGACGGUACUGACGCUGAGACGCGAAAGCGUGGGGAGCGAACAGG